CCCAAAUAUGAAGGCCGAUGGGGCCAGCCCUUUGUUGGGUAUGCCCCGUCUGGCGCCAUAUUCACCCAUGUCUUUUUGCGUACUACUUGUUUCCUUGGUGGGUUCGCCCGCCAUUAGGACCUUUACUCAACCCCUUUUUUUUGCAAUUGCCAUCAGCGUCAGCAAAACAAUGUAAUCAAUUUA
rnacentral:misc_RNA from 1 species